rnacentral:tmRNA from 1 species
GGGGACGACAGGCUUCGACGUGGUCGGAUCGUGGGGGUGGUCGCGAGUCGAGGUUCCAGGCGGCCUCGUAAAAAACCUGGAAAACAAUAAGUGCGGACUCGCACAACUUUGAUCUCGGCCUCGCUGCUUAAUUCCAGCGUAGCCUGAGCUUCAGCCCGCUCCUCAUUUGUUCGCGAUGAGGACUCGGGUUCAUUAGCGAACUAGCUCGGAUCCGAUUUGCUCCCUCGGGUCCGGGGACCACCCAGGGAGCUGGUCUCAACGGACCCGGCCGGCGUGGCGACGUUGAGAUGAGAUUUGAACGCCGGCUACGCUCGUAGACGCUACCUCUUACGCGACCGCGGACCCGGGUUCAAUUCCCGGCGUCUCCAUCA